rnacentral:rRNA from 1 species
CGGGGGCUGCAGUAAGGAAUAUUGGUCAAUGGACGAAAGUCUGAACCAGCCAUGCCGCGUGAAGGAUGAAGGUCCUCUGGAUUGUAAACUUCUUUUAUCUGGGACGAAAAAAGGGAAUUCUUUCUCACUUGACGGUACCAGAAGAAUAAGCACCGGCUAACUCCGUGCCAGCAGCCGCGGUAAUACGGAGGGUGCAAGCGUUGUCCGAAUUCACUGGGUUUAAAGGGAGGUGGGGUGUGCAGUUAGUGGUGAAAUCUCCGGGCUUAACCCGGAAACUGCCAUUGAUACUAUCUGUCUUGAAUACUCUGGAGGUAAGCGGAAUAUGUCAUGUAGCGGUGAAAUGCUUAGAUAUGACAUAGAACACCGAUUGCGAAGGCAGCUUACUACGGAGUCAUUGACACUGAGGCACGAAAGCGUGGGGAUCAAACAGGAUUAGAUACCCCUGUAGUC